GACAGAGGUGCCAAGCGUUAGGCGGAAUCACUGGGCUUAAAGCGUGUGUAGGCGGAUGCCUAAGUACCUUGUGAAAUCCCACGGCUCAACCGUGGAACUGCUGGGUAUACUGGGCGUCUUGGGUCACCUAGGGGUUGCCGGAACAAAUGGUGGAGCGGUGAAAUGCGUAGAUAUCAUUUGGGAACGCCAACGGCGAAAGCAGGCAACUGGGGGUGUACCGACGCUGAGACACGAAAGCCAGGGGAGCGAACGGG
rnacentral:rRNA from 1 species